GGAUGUGAGGGCGAUCUGGCUGUGACAUCUGUCACCCCAUUGAUCACCUGGGUUGAUUCAGCUGAUCUGGCUGGUUAGGCAGGUGUCCCCUUCCUCCCUCACUGCUCCAUGUGUGUCCCUCCUGAAGUUGUGCACUCAGCUGAAGAGGACGGCCUUCCCCGAAUAGAGACAACUGGUCUUCGGUCGAGGGUAUAUGGGUAAUUGCACUCCCCUGCUAGAACUUCCAAACAACCUCUCAAGUGAGUCAGAUUCAGAAAUGAAAGAAAUUCUGGAACAUCAUAACAACUUGCUAAUAAACCUGUAGUGGCCCUGGGGGUUA
ensembl:misc_RNA 7SK 7SK RNA